CGGGAAUCUUCCGCAAUGGACGAAAGUCUGACGGAGCAACGCCGCGUGAGUGAUGAAGGCCUUCGGGUCGUAAAACUCUGUUGUUAGGGAAGAACAAGUACCGGAGUAACUGCCGGUACCUUGACGGUACCUAACCAGAAAGCCACGGCUAACUACGUGCCAGCAGCCGCGGUAAUACGUAGGUGGCAAGCGUUGUCCGGAAUUAUUGGGCGUAAAGCGCGCGCAGGCGGCCCUUUAAGUCUGAUGUGAAAGCCCACGGCUCAACCGUGGAGGGUCAUUGGAAACUGGGGGACUUGAGUGCAGAAGAGGAAAGCGGAAUUCCACGUGUAGCGGUGAAAUGCGUAGAGAUGUGGAGGAACACCAGUGGCGAAGGCGGCUUUCUGGUCUGUAACUGACGCUGAGGCGCGAAAGCGUGGGGAGCAAAC
rnacentral:rRNA from 1 species